AUACUAGUUAGUAUUACACCAUAAUAUAGAUUAAUAUAUAUUGAGUGUGCAUAUUUGUAUUUAUAAGCUAACCUCAUAUAAGCAACAAUAUCAAUAGUUGAUAUUUCAUCCAGUUCAUAAAAUUCUUUAACCUCCUCCAUACCAAUGUAAGAAAUGAUGGUUUAUCAAAUAACCUUUCCUCAAACUUAAUAAUUAUGAAGUUUCCUCUGGAUAAAUGCUCCAGUGAAUAAUUAGAUAACUCAUCCAUGGUAGCCUGAGCAAGGGUCAUACUCUGAGUCUCAACAUCCUACUACAAUAUUUAAUGAAAUAUAAGUAUUAAAACUAAAUCAAUAAAUAUAAUAAACAAAUUAAUAUUAAACUUAUAAACAAAAUCAUACUUUAUGGCUAGUAGUGGAGGUUAGGUUCACUGUCUAACUUGCAACAGAAACUUGUCUUACGUGAAUGAUGCUAUUCGAUUGGCCUACUAGUAUGCUAUGCUGUCUUACUGCCAACAUGACCUUAAAAGUAGU
rnacentral:lncRNA from 1 species